AUUCCUACGGGACGCAGCAGUGAGGAAUAUUGGUCAAUGGGCGGUAGCCUGAACCAGCCAAGUAGCGUGAAGGAUGAAGGUUCUAUGGAUUGUAAACUUCUUUUAUAUGGGAAUAAAGUUUACCACGUGUGGAUUUUUGUAUGUACUUUAUGAAUAAGGAUCGGCUAACUCCGUGCCAGCAGCCGCGGUAAUACGUAGGAUCCGAGCGUUAUCCGGAUUUAUUGGGUUUAAAGGGAGCGCAGGCGG
rnacentral:rRNA from 1 species